GGUCGAAAGGGGAAAUUCAAUCGCGUUUCGACUUAGUCGGAGUUGAACGUUCGCGUGACGGACGGCGUUCGCGCCGUUCGCUCCUUGCGUUCAUCGAAACCGGCGUCGAACGCGUGCACUUUUCCCCUAGUAGGACGUCGCGAUCCGUUGGGCGUCUGUCUAAGACUCCGAGUGGAGCCCGAACGUCGUUUCGUCGUUCGGACCUCGGAUGAUUUCCGGCAGACACGCUCGACGGUACGCUAAAGGCGCGAGGCCGCUACUAAAGUUAGCGUUCGGCCCGUAGCAAGCACGUUUCGCGUUAGGCGGCGAUCGGACCUGGUGCCGGUUCCGCCCCGGAACGACUGUUGGUUGCGGUGUUCUCGAACAGACCUCGU
rnacentral:rRNA from 1 species